UCCGUAGGUGAACCUGCGGAAGGAUCAUUAAAGAUUCGGCCCUCGGGCUACUCUUUUCUUUGGCUGUGCGCCUUUGGGCUUGCACGCCAUUGAUAAAUCACACACACCCGUGCACCCACAUUUGGUUGUGGCAUUGUCCUCACGGAUGACGCUGCUACCAAAUCACAUUUAACUACAAGUCCAGAAUGUAAAAAAACUAUAAAGUAACAACUUUCAACAACGGAUCUCUUGGCUCUCGCAUCGAUGAAGAACGCAGCGAAUUGCGAUACGUAAUGUGAAUUGCAGAAUUCAGUGAAUCAUCGAAUCUUUGAACGCAUCUUGCGCUCCUUGGUAUUCCAUGGAGCAUGCCUGUUUGAGUGUCACGUAAACCCUCACACUUGCGACUUUAAAAUCGCGAGGCGUGGAAUUGGACCGUGCCGUAAUCGGCUCGUCCUGAAAUAUAUUAGCUUGGGCUUCGUUAGAGUGCUCGGCACUGGUGUGAUAAUUAUCUGCGCCACCGCCUUAGGCCUCUUCUGUUGAGGCGCUGGCUUCGGAAUCGGUCCUUUGGCGGGACAAUAUUACAUUAAGGCUUUGACCUCAAAUCAGGGGUAGGGGGACUACCCCGGCUGGGAACUUAAGCAUAUCAAUAAGCGGA
rnacentral:rRNA from 1 species